ACCCCGCUGUGAUCGGUCUAAUAAAACCUUUCGUUUAUCUGGGACGCACUUUCAGUUUCAUACCCCCCCACCACCACCACCUCCUCAUCCCUCCCACGUAAUUGAAGUGCCUCUCCUAUGUAACCCGACGCUCAUCCCGCAGCUCCAAAGUGUCGUUGGGGCCGCAACUUAAGUACCCGGCGCUCCAGAUCCUCCGGAUCAGCACAAGGCCAGAUCAGGCCAAUUAAUAAUUCAGGCGAGUUGCUUCAAAAUGGAGUUUUUUUUACGGCGAAGGGUCUCUCAGAUGUCCGUCCCGCUGCACACGACAACCGACGAGGAGUGAGCGUGUGUCCGGGAGCGCACGUCCCCUCUGCAAGGUUGCUGUCCUCAUCAAUAAUUCACGCACAGGACUGUAGGGAGGUGGGGCAGGGCACGCUGGAGCCCUGCCCAAGAUGAAGGCAAGGAGGCGGAGAAUGUGGCUGAGCGGAGAGGCGGGGCGUGCCGGGAGCAACGCCGCAAUCUAGCUCAGGUGCGUGGAUCGCGCACCGGCACACGAUUAACAUUUCUCCUCACGCUGCAUAAAAGGGGAGAAAGAGGAGAGAUCAGGAAAGAGGGAGUUGGAGAGCCUGCAAUGAUGGAUGAAGAGCGGCAGCAGCGAAAGCAAGGAGCAGACAAGAACGACGACGGCGGCUGAAAAGCGAUCCAACCCGGCAAGAGAAAUCUUAUUGCAAAAUAAACGAGAGUCAAACAUG